GAAAGAAGAGACCACAAAGUCAUGUUUUUAUUAAAAAAAAAAACAGUCCUGAAUAAUCCUUUCCACGAGAAAGAAGAGACCAGAAAGUGCUGUCUUUAAAAAAAAAAACAAAAGGUCUCUUCGUCCAAAUCGACGAUUCUGGAAACACCGAAGAAAAUUAUCAAUCUUACAGAUCGUAUCAAGAAGGUCAAACGGUUAAGGAUGGAUGGAGAAGAUAAAGGAUCAAAGCUUCUGAUUUUGAUCUUUCAAACGUGCCUCCGCUUGACAAUCGAAAAGGACAACAAUUGUAGAUUAGAGAUCCAGGAACAUCGUUUUGCGGAUCAAAGUUAUUAGGGUUCUUUGAAUCAGCUUUGCGGAUAAAAGAUGGUUGAGUUCGUUUAUGGUCUCAUAAAGCAUCUGACUCAUACUUUAUCACAGAUCGACACUACAAUUACAAAGGAGAUAAAUUUUUACUAUUACAAAGAGUCUAAUUUGAGAGAAUUUCUAGCUACCGUCCAUAGACACUGCUAUUCCCUUUCCAUGUCAGGAGUUGGCAAGGUGUGCUAAAGGAUGAAGAUACGUGUAUUUUUUACACAAUACUCUACAUUCAGUAAUCCAGUAGGGUGGAAAGCGUUUCCAGAGCACCUUUUUUUAAUGAUGAAGAUAAGUUAUUGUUUUGUUCAAGUAUCUUAAACACUCGAUGUUAGUAAACAGUAUGUAAAAGACUUAUAGAUAAGUACUUCAACUUAGAUGUUCCUCUUUGCUAUAUACAGGAAUUAUCUCGCAAUAUGCUACAAAUACAACUUCUUUGCUGGGAUGAUAUGACACAAAGUAUGUAGUGAUGGACAUUGGACUCAGAUCGUUCACAGAGGAUAAAACACAAAGGAACAUCUUGUGGAGGAGGGAUAGAUGUAGAGCGUUUCAGAGACCCGCCCAAAUCCUUUUUCAUAGUUAGGAUGUAUGGCUAAACUUCAAUAUAAAAGAGGAGCAGCAAGACAUGAUACGCACACAAAAGGGACUUGGUUCUUUUCCACAAAAUAUCUUUGAGACCCCAAACUUUCAUGGCUUCGAUUUUUUCAAGUCCAGAAGAAUCGUUGUUUUCAUCAACUGAAAUGCCAAAUCCAUAAGAUUUACCAACGAUUUCCACAAUCUCAGGUAGCUUCUAGAAAAAGUAAUAUAUCACCUUCUCCAAUAAGCCUUUCACGACUUUUGCUGCCGAAAUUUUCACAAUAGAUGUUGCAACAGAGUCUAGAAGAGUGAAUUUUGUCUCACCGGUCUGAUCCUGCACAAGCAAUUCUAACUUGUACCUGGAUAUAAAGGAUCAGCAGAAUAUUUAUAUAAUGACAAUACGUUAUAAUUAAUUAUAUGUUAUGUAAGGUUUAAAAGAAAAAAUAUAACCUUGGUGUAACCUUUGUAACAAUACGCUGACAAAAUUCACACCACCAGCUUGGCACCUCUGGUUCAUCAAAUAAAAUAGUUGGUUUGAUAACCUUAUUUUGGCAGUCAGCACAAGCAUAAUAAUACCAUCCAUUAAUGGUAUCAACAGCAUAAACAGAACAAAUAACUCUGUAAUUUCCACCCUACAAACAACACAAAAUAAGGUUAUAAAAUUGAUAAUAAAUAAUAAAUGAUAUUUCAUAAUGAAGCAAACCUUAUCACAGUAUUUCAUCUCUUGAAUUGUUCUGAAUGGAUAUUGCGACCAUUUCUGGCGCUUCUCAUGGAUCACAAUCUUCUCAUUUAUAUGUUGACACAUUUCAACGGUGGUAGCAUCACCCUGAAACCUAAAAGAAAAUACAGCAACAAUCAAAUGGUGUAAUGCAGUAAAUACUGAAUUUUAUAAUAGAAUUAACUCACUUCUGUCUAAGUGCUUUAGCUUCUUUGAUAUCUGGAUUGAUCAACACCAAUGUAGAAUCAAAUGCAUUGGUUACUUUCCACUCUCCUGAAAGUCAAAUAAAACAUAUAUAAAAACGUUUUAACAAAGAGCUAACCAGACGCCAACUAUAGGAAUGUAAAUAAAAAUAAAUAAUAUCUUUAUACCUUUGUAGUUAAAGACUCUAGCAAAUCUGAUUAAACAUAUAUCUCCACUGUUGGAUUGUUUGACUUUUUGGGAAAAGAUCUCAGCUGAUUUACCGGUAAUGCAACAUUGGAUGCGUUGGUUUCUAAUAUUUUAGUUUAAAAAAAAAAUUAGAUUUAACAAUAAUAGAUAACAUAAUGUUUAAACUAAAGUAACUAAACUUACUUGAUAUCUCUUAGAUUAAACUCCACUUUGGUCACUUCUUUUCUUUCAAAUUUAACAAUAUUUUGACCACGAAAGUCUAAGACUUCGCCAAUCACAUCUGUUAUGGAAAAAGAUUUGUUAUUUUACAGUUAAUAUAAAUAGACAAAAUUCAAAAAAAUCAAGUGCGACAACAAAAUAUAACUUACCAAUAAGAAAACGCUCAUCACAGAAACCAUUUUUAAUGUUGUCAAAAUCAUGUAGAUGGAUGAACAUAUUGUUGCAUGUGAGAUUACCAUCGGUAAUUGAAGUUUGCUCCAUGAACUCCAUUUUGUAAACAUGGUUGGUAGGUCGGUUAAGUCCAGAUGCUGGACGUAAUGUAAAGUUAGUAAUAACUUUCCAUUCUCCAACACCACAUUGUCUCUCCACUCGUUGAAGUAGUUCUUGUUUGCAACUGGCAUGGAUUUUGACACCCUAACACAUGUAAACAAAAAAUAUCUUUAAUAAUUAAUAUUUUCAAAAAUACAACAGUAUAAUAAUAGAGUGUUUGACUAUAUUUUCUCACAUUUAUGUCUGUUAACACCAUCUCAAGAGAAGAACCAAAUUGGUGACUGAAUGAAAUCCACGUAUGAAGCACUUUCACCAAAACACUCCAUGCAAAUUUGAUGGGAGAAACAUCGCUUAAACUGCUGAUUUUGAAAAUGGUAUCCAUAAGAGAAUAUCACGUUAGAGAGCUCGGAUAUUUUGAAUGGUUACAUUCUGUUGUGUUUUGAGGUGAUAUUUAUAUAGCUGAAUAAUAAGCUAAAUUUCAAGAAUCGUAACCAUAUUAAAUUAGUUAACAGUUUGGAAUAUUCUAGAGAUAUAAAACAUUCUGAGAUCUCUUUAAGUUACAACAAAAAUAUAUUAUUCUAGAAAAUCGUUUAUAAAGUUGUUUAACUGUCUUUAGAUAUGAUAUUUUAAUUAGUUUGGAUUAGAUACCACUACACCUCCACAUAUUUUCCUAGUUUGUCGUUGUAAAGUUGUUAAGUUUAGAUAAGAUAUUUUAAUUUAGUUUGGAUUUCACACCAGUGUUGCUUAGAUAUGGUGUACAAUACAAAACGUUUUAAACAUAUAACAAUCAAGAGAUUGUUAUCUAUUUUAAAAUUUGUGACUAAGUGACAUAUAUAUGUUUACAAAAAAAGAAUAUAUGAAAAAAUAGUUGCAUCGACGAUUUAGUUUGUAUAUGUGUGAAGAUAUGUUAACAAUCUCAUAAAUAUAUAAUCCAUAUUAUUAUUGAAAAGAUUUUUAAAAAUUUGUGUGUAUAUGAUCGUUUCUACUACCAUGGUCACGUGAAAGUUAAAAACAUAUUUCUAAGCAUAUUUAACAAAAAAAGAAAAAUGUUACAUCCAACUAAUUGUAAAUCCAUGAUCAUAUAAUAAUAAAUUUAUUUUUAUUAAAAAGAGAACAAAUUAUAAGUUUAUGAUUCAAAAGCUCACUUUUAUUUCUAAA